UACGGAGGGGGCUAGCGUUGUUCGGAAUUACUGGGCGUAAAGCGCACGUAGGCGGCUUUGCAAGUUAGAGGUGAAAGCCCAGGGCUUAACCCUGGAAUUGCCUUUAAGACUGCAUCGCUAGAAUCGUGGAGAGGUGAGUGGAAUUCCGAGUGUAGAGGUGAAAUUCGUAGAUAUUCGGAAGAACACCAGUGGCGAAGGCGGCUCACUGGACCGUUGUUGACGCUGAGGUGCGAAAGCGUGGGGAGCAAACAGG
rnacentral:rRNA from 1 species